AUUGAACGCUGGCGGCAGGCCUAACACAUGCAAGUCGAACGGCAGCACAGAAGAGCUUGCUCUUUGGGUGGCGAGUGGCGGACGGGUGAGUAAUGUCUGGGAAACUGCCCGAUGGAGGGGGAUAACUACUGGAAACGGUAGCUAAUACCGCAUAAUGUCGCAAGACCAAAGUGGGGGACCUUCGGGCCUCACACCAUCGGAUGUGCCCAGAUGGGAUUAGCUAGUAGGUGGGGUAAUGGCUCACCUAGGCGACGAUCCCUAGCUGGGCUGAGAGGAGGACCAGCCACACUGGAACUGAGACACGGUCCAGACUCCUACGGGAGGCAGCAGUGGGGAAUAUUGCACAAUGGGCGCAAGCCUGAUGCAGCCAUGCCGCGUGUAUGAAGAAGGCCUUCGGGUUGUAAAGUACUUUCAGCGGGGAGGAAGGCGGUGAGGUUAAUAACCUUGCCGAUUGACGUUACCCGCAGAAGAAGCACCGGCUAACUCCGUGCCAGCCGCCGCUGUAAUAC
rnacentral:rRNA from 1 species